AUUGAAAGCUGGCGGCAGGCCUAACACAUGCAAGUCGAACGAGUGGCGGACGUGUGAGUAAUGUAUGAGAAACUGCCUGAUAGAGGGGGAAAACUUCUGGAAACGGUAGCUAAUCCCGCAUACAAUCAGAUGCGCCCAGAUGGGAUUAGCUUGUUGGUGGGGGAACGGCUCACCAAGGCGACGAUCCCUAGCUGGUCUGAGAGGAGGACCAGCGAAACUGGAACUGAGACACGGUCCAGACUCCUACGUGAGGCAGCAGUGGGGAAUAUUGCACCAUGGGCGAAAGACGGAUGCAGCCAUUCCGAGUGUAGGAAGAAGGCCUUCGGGUUGUAAAGCACUUUCAGCGGGGAGGCGUUACCCGCAGAAGAAGCACCGGCUAACUCCGUGCCAGCAGCCGCGGUAAUUC
rnacentral:rRNA from 1 species